UACGGAGGGGUCUAGCGUUGUUCGGAAUUACUGGGCGUAAAGCGCACGUAGGCGGACUGUUAAGUCGGGGGUGAAAUCCUGGGGCUCAACCUCAGAAUUGCCUCCGAUACUGGCAGUCUCGAGUGCGGGUGAGGUGAGUGGAAUUCCCAGUGUAGAGGUGAAAUUCGUAGAUAUUGGGAAGAACACCAGUGGCGAAGGCGGCUCACUGGCCCGUAACUGACGCUGAGGUGCGAAAGCGUGGGGAGCAAACAGG
rnacentral:rRNA from 1 species